rnacentral:rRNA from 1 species
UACGUAGGGGGCAAGCGUUGUCCGGAUUUAUUGGGCGUAAAGAGCGUGUAGGCGGUUUGGUAGGUCCGUUGUGAAAACUCGAGGCUCAACCUCGAGACGCCGGCGGAAACCAUCUGGCUAGAGUCCGGAAGAGGAGAGCGGAAUUCCCGGUGUAGCGGUGAAAUGCGCAGAUAUCGGGAAGAACACCCGUGGCGAAGGCGGCUCUCUGGGACGGUACUGACGCUGAGACGCGAAAGCGUGGGGAGCGAACAGG